rnacentral:rRNA from 1 species
GACGAACGCUGGCGGCGUGCUUAACACAUGCAAGUCGAACGAUGAAGAAGAGAAACGCGAACUUCGGUUCAAAUUUCACUUCGGAUUAGUGGCAGACGGGUGAGUAACGCGUGAGCAACCUACCUCUUACAAAGGGAUAGCCUCGGGAAACCGUGAUUAAUACCAUAUGACACAUUCAUAAGGCAUCUUAAGAAUGUUAAAGCUACGGCGGUAAGAGAUGCGCUCGCGUCCCAUUAGCUAGUUGGUGAGGUAACGGCCCACCAAGGCGACGAUGGGUAACCGGCCUGAGAGGGUGAACGGUCACAUUGGAACUGAGACACGGUCCAAACUCCUACGGGAGGCAGCAGUGGGGAAUAUUGCACAAUGGAGGGAACUCUGAUGCAGCGACGCCGCGUGAGCGAUGAAGGAAUUCGUUUCGUAAGGCUCUGUUCUAUGGGAAGAAAAGGACUGUACCAUAGGAGAAAGCCCCGGCUAAAUACGUG